GGUUUUGACUGGAAUGCCAGGCUUAACGUUGCUCAGAAGUUGCUUCUAUGAGGACGUCUCCCAGCAGCUGUCAGUGUUUCCAAUGAGUCAUCGCCAGCCCCUGCAAUGAGCCUCUCAGGCUGGAACAGUACAACAUGAGGAAGCAGAAUCAAUGCACAGAAAUUAAGCUAAUGUCUUCAGUCUUUGCAACACCACUUGAGCAGCUUGACCAAGUCACUCAUGCCUAGUGGCCCCGUUAGUUGCUCUUCUCCCAUCAAUGAGCUUUGGAAUUUUCGUCAGUAGCUGCCUAUGCAUUACUCAUGGAUCAGAGAGCAGAAAGAAACCAGACAUUGCCAAGUCCCACCUAGGUAGCUACACAGGGAGCCCUGUAUUGACCAUGGCCCAG
rnacentral:lncRNA from 10 species